rnacentral:sRNA from 1 species
CUCCAGGGAAGGGAGGGAAGGAGGAACCAUAUGUGCAGAAAUCUAGGGGCCAGGAAUUCCCAGGAACACAGUGCUACAAGAAGCCAAGAUUACAGACAGGUGCAGCAGAGAGGCCACAUGCACCAAGCAGACAGCUUUGCAGGCAUGGUCAUACAGGUGCUCAGCUGAUCCAUCACCUGGUCACCCAGCAGCUCCUGGUAUACUAUGGAGGUGGGUCCCAGGGAAGACAUGAAGCAGGGAACAGCUCUGAAACUCUGGGAUGUACCAAGAUGCCUGUGAGGAUGUCUAAGCUGGUGACAGAAGCCCCCAGAGCUUGUGACCUCUGACCUGAGUCCCCAGGACCAGCUUAGGCCACUGCCUCCUGGGAUGGAAGACGGACCCACCUGGCAGCCAUCUUCAGAACGUUGUGCAGAGUUCCAGAGGAGCUGGACAAGUCAGACCACCCGGAGAACAGGGUUGUGCCUGUUGGCGAGAAGAAAUUCAGUCACCUCACCCCUGCGAGACCGAUAGAAGGCUUGAUGAUUGGCAGCCCAGAGGCAUUCCCUGCCCCUGAAAGCCCCACCUACCCUAACACAGUACCUGGCGGCUGUGAUCUGAGGAUUACAAGAUCCAAGAUAUCCUUGGGCAGCUCCACACUAAGAUAGAAAUCAGUCUGAGGCCACUGCACUAUAAAACAGGGUCAUAAAUAAAGACUGCAUUCAAAUUCUACCCUGAGUUGGCUUGGCUGUAGCCUCCCCUAAGGUUGCUGGCCUUUCUGAACCUGGAUUUACCCACCUGAGAAAUAGGAUCUCAUCUUCUUGUCCUAUGUGCACCUCUCUGUGGUCAGACUAGGAAUCUGGAGCCCAGAGGUGCAAGGCUGAGGUCGAAUGGGCACUUAGAAACUGUGUCCCAGUUCAAAGGACAGUUAAGGGGCUGGGAACUGGGGUCUCUGCCUCCCACGCAGCUUUUCUCAAGAACAGAAAUCAGGAAAGCAUGAAUCCAGGGUGUAACCUGUAACCGCUGUGCAGCCUUGAGCUGAUAAUCAAACCUCUCUGAACCUGUCUUUUUUUUCUCGGCCUCAGAAUGAGGCCAGCCAUAACUAGGGUUAUGAGAAGCCAGUAGAGGGUACCUAUCACCUUUGUAAUAAGGAAGCACCAGCAGCUCAGGUGACAGCAAGGGACAAGCCAGACCCUCACCCCCCACCCCCGCUCCACUCCUGUGCUCCUGUGCUCAAUGGUCGAGCAGAAGCAAUCCCACUGUUCCACAUCACCCAUAAGUCUGAAAAAGAGGCCUUGCCAAUAUGGGGGGUCAAAGUAGGAUCCCCAGGACGUGAGCAAGGAAAAGUGCAAAGUUGGCACUAGCAGACCAGUGGGAACAGGACUAGUGAGCACACACUGAGAAGAAAGGCCAAGCGAAGGAGCUCGCCCGCACGCAGCUGCAGCCCAUGUGGAAAGGGAGGCUCUUCCCUGCGCAGGCUUGCAGGAGUGAGCGAGUGUUUUCUCUGCCCGUCCCAUUAAUCUGUUUGCUGUGUCCUGUUCCCGCCCUCCCACCUCCUGUGCCUGUUCAUCCCGGGCUCACUCCCUCUCCUGAGGGCUCCACGGGUCAUUAAAACCGAAACAAGCCCGGCUCUGAUGGUUAAACCAGAUGCCAGGCGCGUCCUGCCGGCCCCUCUCGGGGUCAGACCGUGGGGGGCCUAGGUUCCCAAGGGGGACGGGCCAGACUGAGGGGAAACCCAACCCGAGACACAUGGAGAUCAUUUGCCAGAAGAAUGGGAUCCGUGACCAGCUCCAGCAGAGGGCAAGGAGGGAGAGAGGGGGUAAGGGCAGUGGGGCCAGGCCAAACUGGGCGCCACCCUGUGCUGAGGCUGGCUCAGCCCAGUGCAGGCUCGUUCCCUCCCCCAUCUCAACCAGGCUUGGCCAGGCCUCCAGGCCCUCCGGGCCCCCAGUAUCAUCUCCAGUGUGCCAAGGAUUGAAAGAAAGCUUUCGCAGCCUCUGACCCCCACCCCUACCUCCACCCCCACCCCAGCAGCUCAAGUCCCUCAACAGAUAGCUGAUACAUAGAAGAUGAAAACCAAGACUCAGAGGGGUCAUGUGACUUUCCAAAAGACAAACAGCAAAUCAGCAGAGGCAUCAGCCAGGAAUUUCCCAGAAGGCUACGGGUGGGUAGCUUGUUCACUCAGAAGGGAUGGAGUGACCUGGUCACCAUUUGCCAAACUGGUCAUGCUGUACCUUCAUGCCCCCUGAGGUGGGUCUCCUGACCAUGGUUGGGUCCCCAUUUGCUUGUCUGUUACCUUAACAACAGUUGUGUUCAAUAUAACUCAGGCCCCAUAAGUUUGGAUGGUGGUUC